CUCGUAGGCGGUUCGUCGCGUCCGGUGUGAAAGUCCAUCGCUUAACGGUGGAUCCGCGCCGGGUACGGGCGGGCUGGAGUGCGGUAGGGGAGACUGGAAUUCCCGGUGUAACGGUGGAAUGUGUAGAUAUCGGGAAGAACACCAAUGGCGAAGGCAGGUCUCUGGGCCGUUACUGGCGCUGAGGAGCGAAAGCGUGGGGAGCGAACA
rnacentral:rRNA from 1 species